rnacentral:rRNA from 1 species
AUUGAACGCUGGCGGCAGGCUUAACACAUGCAAGUCGAGCGAGCGGCGGACGGGUGAGUAAUGUCUGGGAAACUGCCUGAUGGAGGGGGAUAACUACUGGAAACGGUAGCUAAUACCGCAUACCAUCAGAUCUUCCCAGAUGGGAUUAGCUAGUAGGUGGGGUAAUGGCUCACCUAGGCGACGAUCCCUAGCUGGUCUGAGAGGAUGACCAGCAAAACUGGAACUGAGAAACGGUCCAGACUCCUACGGGAGGCAGCAGUGGGAAAUAUUGCACAAUGGGCGCAAGCCUGAUGCAGCCAGGCCGCGGGGGUGAAGAAGGCCUUCGGGUUGUAAAGCACUUUCAGCGAGGAGGCGUUACUCGCAGAAGAAGCACCGGCUAACUCCGUGCCAGCAGCCGCGGUAAUUC